rnacentral:rRNA from 1 species
AUGACGUGCGUUACUGUUCAAGAAUCAGUUUCUCUGGAGAUGUACAAGAACCAGUUUCAGGGAACGGGCAUGUUUGGAUCAGAAAGAAAAAUCUCUUGUCAUACUCCAGAGGAGCUCAUUUAUUUGCAAUCUGAAGAAGAUGCAGUGCCAUCUUCCAGAAAUUGCCUGGAUUCUUUUAGUUAUGUAUUGUUACCUGAAAUUUUGAGUAAUAUACUACAGUUUAGCUUAUUAUUUGUUGACCGUUGCCGCUCUUCACAAGCGCUGAAGCUGAACAGAGCAAAUCCCAGAAUAGUUCCUCGUUCCAGCAAUCAAGCAUACAAGUCUACAGUAAUUGGGAAGAACUUCAAAUCUGUAACCCUGCUCGAACUUGUUAGGAGAAGAAAUGAUGAUGUAUAUAAUUUGUAUGUAGAUUUAGUGACACCAAAUAAUGUGCAUAUUGGCAUUAUAUUUCGGUCACAAUUUUGA